GCACGCCUGUCGGGACCCGAAAGAUGGUGAACUAUGCCUGAGCGGGGCGAAGCCAGAGGAAACUCUGGUGGAGGCUCGAAGCGAUACUGACGUGCAAAUCGUUCGAUUGACUUGGGUAUAGGGGCGAAAGACUAAUCGAACCAUCUAGUAGCUGGUUCCCUCCGAAGUUUCCCUCAGGAUAGCUGGAGCCCAUUACGAGUUCUAUCAGGUAAAGCCAAUGAUUAGAGGCAUUGGGGACGC
rnacentral:ncRNA from 1 species